rnacentral:rRNA from 1 species
AGCAGCCGCGGUAAUUCCAGCUCCAAUAGCGUAUAUUAAAGUUGUUGCAGUUAAAAAGCUCGUAGUUGAAUUUCGGGAUUAGUACGUUGGUCGUGCCUUCGGUACGUACUGGUGUUACUGGUUCCUACCUUCUGACGAACCAUCAUGUCAUUAAUUUGGUGUGGCGGGGAAUCAGGACUGUUACUUUGAAAAAAUUAGAGUGUUUAAAGCAGGCUCGCGCUUGAAUACAUUAGCAUGGAAUAAUGAAAUAGGACGUUCGACCCUAUUUUGUUGGUUUCUAGGAUUGACGUAAUGAUUAAUAGGGAUAGUUGGGGGCAUUAGUAUUCAAUUGUCAGAGGUGAAAUUCUUGGAUUUAUUGAAGACUAACUACUGCGAAAGCAUUUGCCAAGGAUGUUUUCAUUAAUCAAGAACGAAAGUUAGGGGAUCGAAGACGAUCAGAUACCGUCGUAGUCUUAACCAUAAACUAUGCUGACUAGGGAUCGGAUGAUGUUAAUUUUUUAAUGACUCAUUCGGCGCCUUACG